rnacentral:snoRNA from 1 species
UCUCUAAUACAACAAUUGGAAAAUAAAAAUGACUAAUGACCUAUUGAGCCAUCAAGAAAGGGCAGAGUGAAAAACACACUUUGGGUGAAAUGCAGCAUGUUGUGCUGUUUUGCUUCAAUCAGUGGUGUGACAAGG